CCCUUAGACGUUCUGGGCCGCACGCGCGCUACACUGACGAAGGCAACGAGCUUUCCUUUACCGAAAGGUACGGGUAAUCUUUUGAAACUUCGUCGUGCUGGGGAUAGAUCCUUGCAAUUUUUGAUCUUAAACGAGGAAUACCUUGUAAGCGCGGGUCAUCAUCCCGCGCUGAAUACGUCCCUGCCCUUUGUACACACCGCCCGUCGCUCCUACCGAUUGAGUGGUCCGGUGAGGCUUUGGGAUCUGAGCGGAAAGAGCGUUUCGCUGUUUCUGCUCGGAAAACUCAGUCGAACCUUAUCAUUUAGAGGAAGGAGAAGUCGUAACA
rnacentral:rRNA from 1 species